rnacentral:rRNA from 1 species
UACGUAGGGUGCGAGCGUUGUCCGGAAUUAUUGGGCGUAAAGAGCUCGUAGGCGGCCUGUCGCGUCGGAUGUGAAAGCCCGGGGCUUAACCCCGGGUCUGCAUUCGAUACGGGCAGGCUAGAGUGUGGUAGGGGAGAUCGGAAUUCCUGGUGUAGCGGUGAAAUGCGCAGAUAUCAGGAGGAACACCGGUGGCGAAGGCGGGUCUCUGGGCAACAACUGACGCUGAGGAGCGAAAGCGUGGGGAGCGAACAGG